UACAGAGGCCCCAAGCGUUACUGAGAAUCACUGGGUUUAAAGGGUGCGUAGGUGGCGCGUUAAGUCCGUUGUGAAAGCCCUGGGCUCAACCCAGGAACUGCUUCGGAUACUGGCGCGCUUGAGGCUAGUAGGGGUCACUGGAACUGACGGUGGAGCGGUGAAAUGCGUAGAUAUCGUCAGGAACGCCAAUGGUGAAGACAGGUGACUUGGCUAGUUCUGACACUGAGGCACGAAAGCGUGGGGAGCGAACGGG
rnacentral:rRNA from 1 species